rnacentral:lncRNA from 1 species
UUGGAUGCUUUCUGUCUUUAUCCUCAGGGUGUACAGGCUAUUAUAUCCUUGAUAGUGGGUGUGCUAGUGUAUGGCCUGAGUGUGCUUCCAGGAUGAUGGAGGCAAUGGGCAGUUCUAAUAGCCAGUGUUUGGUUGCUGGGCCCUUGACAGUGGUGAGGACCAGAAUAGAGUCUGAUACUGGUUUCAGGGUCCUGUGAAGUGGCAGUGACCCUCAGGAAGGUGUAGGAAGCACACGGUGGCGCCGGCAGCAGCAGCAGCAGCAGCACAGCAGCAGCAGCAGCAGCAGCAGCAGCAGCAGCAGCAGCAGCAGCAGCAGCAGAGUGUGUGUAUUCCUAGGGAGGUGAGAGCAACAACUGGUGGCUCUCAUUUGCAGUGCCCUCCACUGUGCUGACCCCUGAGGUGACUGGGGCUACUGAUAGUGCCUGUUCAUGGACCUCUAGUGGUGGCAGGCCAUGCUUACCUUUGGAGUCUGAGAUAGUUGCAGCCAUAGCCUGUGCAAGAGGAAUCCUGCCAUCUGUAGCCCAUGCAAGAUGUGCCCUGCUGCCUGAGAGCCUAUGAAUGCACAAAGGUAUUCCUAUGGAAGUCCCACCCCUCUUCUUCUAGCCCUCCCCAGCCCUGCAGACCCAGGCCUUCUCUUUGGCUCCCUUGGCUGUGGUGCUCCACUCCUCAGCCUGUGGAGCACUGCUCCUUAGACCCCCAGGCUGUCUCCACACAAUAAAUCCUAGUCCUCUCCCCAGAACUGACUUCUGGAGCCUGAAGUGCCCAACCCUUGCCCAAGUAUCUCAGGAUGUGGUGUCCAGGCCCAGUGGUACCAAUGGUACCAAGCUCUUUCUCUGCUUUGCCCUCCUCAGUCCAGCUGCUAUGCUUUUCUCCCAGGCUUUGAGGUCCUUCCAUCUUGGCUAAUCUCCCCAUCAGGUGGUGCAGGUUCCUUUCCUCUUUCAUAGCUCCUUCUUAGGUGUGCUGGUCCCAUGCUAAUUCCAUUUUCCCCCUUUUUGGAGGUUUAAAGUCUUCUGCCAUUGUUCAGUAGAUGUUCUGUGCAAAUCAUUCUUCAAUAUAGACUUUUUUUGAUGUGUUUGUGGGAGAAGUUGAGGGCCAUGUCUUACUCUUCUGUCAUCUUUAUCCUAUAUCCUGUUUUCUUCCUUCUUGCUUUGAAUUUAUUUUGAUCUUAUUUUUAUAGUUCUUGAGGUAAGAACUUGGGUUAUUUACUUAUACUUUUCUUCUUUUCUAAUGUAAAUAUUAGAAUGCAGUAUACAUUUCUCUCUCAACAUUGCUUUGGCUGCUUCUCACAUACUUUCAUUUUAUUUAGUUCUAUAUAUUUUCAUAUUUUCUUUGAGAUUUCCCCUUUGACUGAUGAAUUACUUACAGUAUUAUUUAUUUUCUGUCUACAUAUAGAUUUUCAUGCUGUCUUUCUAUUAACUUCUAGUUUGAGACUAUUGUGGUUGUAGAAAACACUCAGUAUAAUUUUGGUUCUUUUACAUUUAGUGAGUUUGAUUUUAGGGCCAGGAAAGGGUUGCCUUGGUGAAAUUUCCAAGGAUGCUUGAGGAAAACAAUGUGUAUUCAGAGUUCCUGCUGUGGCUUAGCGGACCACCUGACUAGUAUCCAUGAAGAUGCAGGUUUGAUCCCUGGCCUCACUCAGCAGGUUAAGUAUCCAGUGUUGCUGCAAGCUGUGGUAUAGGCUGCAGAUGCAGCUUGGUUCUGGUUAUGCUGUGGCUGUGGCAUAGGCCCCAGCUGCAGCUUUGAUUCAACAGCUAGCUUGGGACCUUCCAUUUGCUGCAGGUGUGGCCCUAAAAAGAAAAAAAAAUGUGUGUUCUUCCGUUCGGUGGAAUGUUCUGUGUCAGUUACAAGCCUGUUGGUUGUGUUUUUUAAAUCCUGAGUAUCCUUGAUUAUUUCAUAGUUAUUGGGGAUGAGUUCUGAAAUCUCCAACUAUAAUUACAGAUUUGUCUAUUUCUCUUGUCUUCUCUGUCAGUUUUCGUUUCAUGUCCUGUGAAACUCUACACCUUGGCUAGGACAUUUUUAGGAUAAUUAUGUCUUUCUGGUGGAUUGAUCCUUUUAUCAUUGUGGGAGGUCCUUCUUUGUCUCUGGCCAUUUUCUUUGCUCUGGAGUCUACUUUAUUAGAUAUUAACUUAGCCAAUCCUACUUUUAAAAAAAUAAUGUUUACGUGGUGUAUCUUUUCCUACUCUGUCACUGAAUUUAAAGUGUGCUUCUUAUAUAAAGUUUAUAGUUGGGCCCUGCUUAUUUUCUUAAUCCAUUAUGCCAACUGCUAUCUUUUCAUUGGUAUUUUUAGACCAUUUCUAAAUAAGGUACUUACUGAUAUAUUAGAUAUUAAGUCUGCCUUAAAAAUUUUUUUUUUCUAGGAGAAAAUACUGCUACCAUGUCCUGGUGGCCAUCUGCCACACACAGUGAGGUGUUGCUCCAGGACCUUGUUUCAGACGUGGAAGCUCCCCUGUCCAUUAAACCAUUCAUAUCUCCGAAAAUUUUUUUUUCUAUUUGUUUCUUCUGGUUCUCAUUCCUCUACCUUUUUUUCUUUGUUCUUGUGAAUUAUUUGAACACUUUUUAAGGAUUUCAUCUUGGUUUAUUUGUACUGCUUUUGGGCAUACGCUUUUAUAUAUUUUUCACUCUAGUGCUCUAGGUCAGUAUUAUAAUAUAGAUAUGUGCCUUAUCUGUCUAAGUAUCACUUUACCCCUUAGUGUUGAGUGUGGAAACUUCAGUUCUAUGUAGGUACAUUUAACUGCCUCAUUUUUAAAAGCCAUUGUCAGGAGUGUCAUAUGAUGUUAUAAUUUUUGUUUCAAUCAUUAAAUAUGAUUUAUAAAGCUCAUUAGGAAAAGGGAAAACAUAUCUAUAUUUUUCUUUUUACCACUGUUUCUUCAUUUAUCAUUUGCUUCCUUUUGAAGAACUUUUUUUAGCCAAUCCUUAAGGAUAGGUCGGUUAGCACCCAAUUAUUAUUUUUUUCCCCUUAUCUGACAAUGUUUUCAUUUUCUCUUCCUUCUCAAAGAAUAGCUUCACUAGAUACAGACUUCUUGAUUGACAGAUCUUUUCUUUCAGAACUUGAAAAAUAUUGUACCAUUUCAUUCUGUUUCCAUAAUUUGGUUUCUGAUAAGGAUUCUGCUGAUAUUUGAGUUGGUGUUUCCUUAUCCAUAGUGUAUUCUUUUUUUUGCUUGUUUUCAGAUGUUUCUCUUUCUCUAUAGUUUACAGAACUUCAUUAUGAUGUAUCUUGAUCUAUUGAGUUUUAUUCUGAGUUUUCUUAGCCUUUUUGAGCUGUAGUUUUGUGUCUCUUGCUAAAUUGGGGAAAUUUUCAGCCAAUAUUUCUUCAAAUACUCUUUCUGCCCCAUUAUCUUUCUCUUCUCCUGCUGGGGAUUUGAUGAUACGAUUAUCAGAUCCUACGUUAUUUUCCUAAAGAUCUCUUCCUAUAAAGGCUCUGCCCAUUUGUUUCCACAUAUCUUCUCUUUGUUGUUAAGAUUGACUGAAUUUUAUUGAUAUGUUCUCAAGUUUAUUGAUUUGAUCCUCUGUAAUUUCCAUUUUACUGUUUUUUUUUGUUGUUUGUUUUUUUUAGUUUUAAAAUUUUAUGGCUGCAUCCAAGGCAUAUGGAAUUUCUCCAGGCCAGAUAUUGAAUUGAGUUUGAGCUGUAGCUGUGGCAAUGCUGAAUACUUUAACCCACCAUACAAGGCCAGAGAUUGAACCUGAGCUUCCACAGUGACCCAAGAUGCUGCAGUAGGAGUCCUAACCCACUGAAUCAUGGUGGGAACAACUCCAUUCUACUGUUGAGCUCAUCCAUUGUUAUUUUUUUCCUCUUGUGUUUUUCAGUUCUAUAAUUUCCACUUGGUUAUUUUUAUGGCUCUUGGUUCUUUUCUGAAAAUUUCUAUUUUUUUCAUUUUUUCAAGAGAAUUUGUAGUUGGUGAUUACAAAUUUGUGAUUUGAAUUUGUGAUUGAUGAUUGAAGCAUUUUUAUGACAACUGCUUAAAAAACCCUUGUCAACUAAUUCCAACAUCUGAUUCAUCUUGUUGUUGGUGUCAAUUGAUGGUCUUUUCUCAUUCAAGAUGUUUCUUAAUAUGAAAGGUGACCUUCAACUGUGUCCUGGCUAUUUUGUCUAUUAGAUUAGGAGGUUUUGAGUCCUUCCUAUUCAAAGCUUUCACUUGAGUCUGUUGUAACCCUGUGUAGGUUUAGUGUGUAACUCCUAUGCAACUCUUGUGGGUUGUGGUUCCAAUGGCAGGUGAUGUUCAGGGAUACUGCAAUGCUGUCUUCUUCUGUUUGGUUUAUCUGGUGCCCCAAGGACCCCAGUGUUGUCUGACAGUGCUGCCUCAGGAGGAGAAGGGGUUUCCCCAGGUGGGACACAUAGGUGUUCUUGGCAAGGGAGGGCAGUUCCACAUUUACACACUUUCUGCUCUUCCUUGGAGUCUCUGGGUGAGGGACACAGUGGACCCAUAGGGACAAAGAGGCUUCCAGGGACACAUUGCCUUCUGUGACUGGGCCUGUCUGCUUUUUCUGCCUGUAUGUCCUUGGUCUGGAUUGGGGAGGAGAAUUGGGCAAUUUUGUAUAAGAUUCAUCAUCUUAAGAUUCAUCACUUACUCUGUGACCCAGAGUCCUACUCUUAAGUAUUUAUCCAAGAGAAAUGAAAAUGCAUGUUCACACAAAACCCUGUAUGUGAAUUGUCCUUAUGUUACAAAUGGAUAAUUAAUCUAUGAUGGGAUACUUUCAGCAACAAAAAGAAGAAAAUUAUUCAUGAAUGCCAAAUUAUAGUUGAUACUUAAAAGCAUUUUGCUAAGUGAAAUAAGAAUGGUCCAAAAGAUGAUUGAUUGUGUAAUUCAUUUUAUAUAACAUUAGAAAAGGCAAAAUUACAGAAAGGAAAGCAGAUCAAAGGUUGUUUUGCAUUGGAAGAGGGUUGUAUAUAAAAGGGUAACAUGGGUGAGCUUUUGGCUGAUGUAAUUGUUUGAUAUGAAAUGGUCGAUGUGAAAGUGUGAUGGUUGAUAUAAAACUCUAUUCAUUUGUCAAAAUCCAUAGGACUUUUUACUACAAAAGUGAACUUUAUUGAUAUAAUAUUUUGUAAUCAACCAGGAAGAAAGGUUGAAUGAGUCAAACUAUUUUACCGAUGACUCACAAGAGCACAAUGAGGGGAUAAGGAGAAAAAAAGAGCAUACCUAAGUUCAUAAAUUCAGUUUUGACCACAUAUUAUAAGGCUAAAUACAAAAAGAGCAAAUGUACUUUGGUGGAUGUGUUUGUUUCCCAGUGGGAUCAGAUUACACAUUUUGAAACCACUUUAUGUGUGUACUAGUGUUGAAUAAAUAAAUAAAUAUGGUAUAGAGAGUGAGAGCCAAGUUUCUCAUGUUGGAGAAAGGAGUUACACAUGAAGAAAGGGAGGGGGGAAGUAUAGAAUGAAUUCUAUGAUGCUGUAUUGAAGUUGGAGGCUCAAUAUGGACACAUGAAUGUAUAUGUAAAUAGAUGCAAAAAUAAAUAUAAGCAUAUGGAUGUGUGUUCACACGAGAUUGUAUACAUACAUGCAUUUCCCAGCCCUGUCCACUGAGAGGAAAUGGAUGCUAUGUGACCCAGGAGCAAUGAGCAUAACUUGUGUCCAGGAGGUCUUGGUUUCAAAGUCAAUUUUCUUCUCCAACAAGAGGAAAAUGUUGGUCUAUUGAGAGAUAGUUGACUCCAAAACUGUGUCAGGGAAAAUGCUCAGUGAGCCUGGAACAGCUUUUGGUGCCAGUAAGUAACUGAUAAA